UACGUAGGUGGCUAGCGUUGUCCGGAUUUACUGGGCGUAAAGAGCGCGCAGGCGGUCGUUCAAGUCGAGUGUGAAAGCCCCCGGCUCAACUGGGGAGGGUCACUCGAUACUGAUCGACUUGAAGGCGGGAGAGGGAAGCGGAAUUCCCGGUGUAGUGGUGAAAUGCGUAGAGAUGUGGAGGAACACCAGUGGCGAAGGCGACUCUUUGGCCUGUAACUGACGCUGAGGCGCGAAAGCGUGGGGAGCAAACAGG
rnacentral:rRNA from 1 species